rnacentral:rRNA from 1 species
AUGAACGCUGGCGGCGUGUCUAAGGCAUGCAAGUUGAACGUAGUGUUGCCCGCAAGGGCAAUAUUCAGUAGCAAACGGGUGAGUAACACACUGGUAACCUACCUUUGAGAUGGGGAUAGCCUGGCGAAAGCUAGAUUAAUACCCAAUAGCAAUGCGGGGACAAAAGUCAUUCGCAUUUAAAGUCGCAAGACACUCAAAGAGGGGCCUAUGUCUGAUUAGCUAGUUGGUGAGGUAAUGGCCCACCAAGGCUAUGAUCAGUAGCAGGCGUGAGAGCGUGACCUGCCUCACUGGGACUGAGACACUGCCCAGACAUCUACGGAUGGCUGCAGUCAAGAAUCUUCCCCAAUGGACGAAAGUCUGAGGGAGCGACGCCGCGUGUAGGAUGAAGGUCUUCGGAUUGUAAACUACUUUUAUAUGGGACGAAUUCGUGACGGUACCAUAUGAAUAAGAGGUUGCUAACUCUGU